AUUGAACGCUGGCGGCAGGCUUAACACAUGCAAGUCGAGCGGAGAUGAGGUGCUUGCACCUUAUCUUAGCGGCGGACGGGUGAGUAAUGCUUAGGAAUCUGCCUAUUAGUGGGGGACAACAUUCCGAAAGGAAUGCUAAUACCGCAUACGUCCUACGGGAGAAAGCAGGGGAUCUUCGGACCUUGCGCUAGUAGAUGAGCCUAAGUCGGAUUAGCUAGUUGGUGGGGUAAAGGCCUACCAAGGCGACGAUCUGUAGCGGGUCUGAGAGGAUGAUCCGCCACACUGGGACUGAGACACGGCCAGACUCCUACGGGAGGCAGCAGUGGGGAAUAUUGGACAAUGGGGGAAACCCUGAUCCAGCCAUGCCGCGUGUGUGAAGAAGGCCUUAUGGUUGUAAAGCACUUUAAGCGAGGAGGAGGCUACUGAGACUAAUACUCUUGGAUAGUGGACGUUACUCGCAGAAUAAGCACCGGCUAACUCUGUGCCAGCCGCCGCAGUAA
rnacentral:rRNA from 1 species